AACCAAAGUCAUCGACACAACCACACUGCCAGUGUAUCCCAAGAAGAUCAGACCUCUUGAGAAGCAGGGACCCAUGGAGUCCAGGAACCUCUGGCGGGAGGUGACCCGAUACCUGCGGCUGGGGGACAUUGACGCAGCCACCGAGCAGAAGCGGCACCUGGAGGAGAAGCAACGGGUGGAGGAACGGAAGCGCGAGAACCUCCGCACACCAUGGAAGCCCAAAUAUUUUAUCCAGGAGGGCGAUGGCUGGGUAUACUUCAAUCCCCUCUGGAAAGCACACUGAUGGGGUGGAGGUGCAGAGCUUUCCAGUAUAGCCCUGUUUUUGUAGGAAUAUUAAAGUAGUAGAGUAUCAGGGUUUUGUUGGCAUUCACUGAGACCUUGUAUUAGCAUCCAAGAAAUGAUGAGAGAGAGAGAAAUUAUAUACUAUGAAAAGUGCACCCCCACACUCUGCUAGAGGAAUGAAUUUAUUCAAGAGCCAUUCGGGGCACGUGUGUGUACACACCGUAUACGUUCACACACAUGCACUAUGUAAACAUCUGAGUAUGAUUACACAUUUAAAUACUGCACUCACCAAGGUUAAAGUGGGUAAUCAUAAGCUCCUUUUUAUCAAUGAAGUUUGAAGUUUUUCUAUUUUUCACUUUGCCAAAAAUGUUUUACACUCACAAAGAUAUUCUCACUUAGUCAACUCCUGUCAAAAUGAAGGUGAACUGGCAUGGCCCGAUCACUGUCCAUAAGGGAGAAAGUGGCUCAUUCCUGGUAGAAGUAUGGGUGGUUAUCAUUUCAAAAUUAUUGUGAUUCUCACCUCCCUCCCCACCUCAGUGUUUUGUCUGUCCGCGCCCAAGAAAGAUAAGCAAGUAUUUCCUGCUGGAUGGGGGUUGGCAGGAAGCUGUUAAAGAUUUAUGCCAGAGCCUUGCAGGAUGGAGCACCUCUGGGACAACUAAGAGCCAAGGCCCACCAAGGAGUUUUCCACCCGUCUCUCAUGGUCACAGCGCUAGUCAUUCAUUUUUGAGAAGUUGCUUCUUUUACAUCAGAAAACCAGUCAAUCAUAUGGAGACUUCUUUUGUGAUGAAAAAGGGCUUUAGAAGUUAAAUACAUGCAUGCACAUGAAAACAUGCACAACCACAGCCUCAAUCUUGUAUUUAGUUUGGGGAAAGAGAAGAGAAUUUCCUGUGGAUUAUUUUUUCCUCAAGUGCACCUCUCUGGUUAACCCAAACUCUGCAAGAAAGCACUGUGACUAAAACAUACAUAACGCCUGCAUAAAUAUUCCAUGGUUUCAGUUAAAUUUCAGUUUUUAGCCUUUACACAUGAGGUCAAAGGAGUGACGAAAAUACAAAGCAAGGAAAAAAUGAAAUAUCUGGUUUUUGCUGAAUGCUUAAUUUAUUUUUUACUGUGCCACUCCAAUAUUUAUCAAAUCCAAAUAGCAUGAAUGCUUCUCUGUAGUAAUACUAAUUUUGUGCCUUUUGUCUGCUUUCUUAAGACCAGUUGUUCACACUUUGUAGAUAUUAGACAAAUAUAUUUCGA
rnacentral:lncRNA from 1 species